rnacentral:misc_RNA from 1 species
GAUGAAGAACGCAGCGAAAUGCGAUAAGUAAUGUGAAUUGCAGAAUUCAGUGAAUCAUCGAAUCUUUGAACGCACCUUGCGCCCUUUGGCCAUUCCGAAGGGCAUGCCUGUUUGAGUAUCAUGAACACCUCAACUCUCAUGGCUCGCCAUGAUGAGCUUGGAUUUGGGGGUCUUGCUGGCCUGUGGUCGGCUCCUCUCAAAUGGAUCAGCUUGCCAGUGUUUGGUGGCAUCACAGGUGUGAUAACUAUCUGCGCUUGUGGUUUUCCAUCAGAUAACCUUCAGUGAUGGAGGUUCGCUGGAGCUCAUAAACGUCUCCCCUAGGCGGGGACAGCCCUUUGAAUGUUUGAUCUCAAAUCAGGUAGGACUACCCGCUGAACUUAAGCAUAUCAAUAAGCGGAGGA